CAGUAGCCGCGGUAAUACGUAGGGUGCAAGCGUUAAUCGGAAUUACUGGGCGUAAAGCGUGCGCAGGCGGUUUGUUAAGACAGAUGUGAAAUCCCCGGGCUCAACCUGGGAACUGCAUUUGUGACUGGCAAGCUAGAGUAUGGCAGAGGGGGGUGGAAUUCCGCGUGUAGCAGUGAAAUGCGUAGAUAUGCGGAGGAACACCGAUGGCGAAGGCGACUAUCUGGGCCAACACUGACACUGAGGCACGAAAGCGUGGGGAGCAAACAGGAUUAGAUACCCCUGUAGUCCCUGUCUCUUAUAC
rnacentral:rRNA from 1 species